rnacentral:rRNA from 1 species
UGAACGCUGGCGGCGUGCUUAACACAUGCAAGUCGAACGAACCUUCGGGUUAGUGGCGGACGGGUGAGUAACGCGUGAGAAUCUGCCCUCAGGAGGGGGAUAACGGCUGGAAACGGCCGCUAAUACCCCAUAUGCCGAGAGGUGAAAUGAAAUUCGCCUGAGGAUGAGCUCGCGUCUGAUUAGCUAGUUGGUAGGGUAAAAGCCUACCAAGGCAACGAUCAGUAGCUGGUCUGAGAGGAUGAUCAGCCACACUGGGACUGAGACACGGCCCAGACUCCUACGGGAGGCAGCAGUGGGGAAUUUUCCGCAAUGGGCGAAAGCCUGACGGAGCAACGCCGCGUGAGGGAUGAAGGCCUCUGGGCUGUAAACCUCUUUUAUCAAGGAAGAAGAUCUGACGGUACUUGAUGAAUAAGCCACGGCUAAUUCCGUGCCAGCAGCGCGGUAAUCUGAUGGCGCGAGG